ACUGAGCCUGGCUGUAAGUCUAUCUACCUGCUCCACCCAUCCCGAACUUGGGUAUGCCUUGUGUGCUUGUCAAUUGCUUCUGCCAUGGUGGCUAUUUGGUGGACCAAGGGGAAGCGACAAAAAUUCUAGAGAAUACUCUAUCUUCCAUGAUGAAUUCUGAAACGGCCAAGAACUUCCGAGUAAAGAAGAUAGAGGAGAUCGGCAAGAUGACGGCGUUGACCCAGGACGAGAUCAUCAACAACACCAAAACGGUGAUCCAGGGCCUGGACACGCUGAAGAAUGAGCACCACCAGAUACUCAACUCUCUCCUCACUUCCAUGAAAACAAUCAAGAGGGAGAAUGGAGACACAAACCUCGUGGAAGAAAAAGCAAAUAUUCUCAAGAAGUCCCUAGAAUCCAUCGAGCUGGGACUAGGAGAGGCUCAGGUAAUGAUGGCAUUAGCGAAUCAUCUACAACAUGUGGAAGCCGAGAAACAGAAGUUACGAGCGCAGGUGAGGCGCUUAUGUCAGGAGAAUGGCUGGCUGCGGGACGAGCUGGCCAACACACAGCAGAAGCUGCAACUGAGUGAGCAGAAGUCAGCCACACUGGAAGAGGAGAAGAAACACCUGGAGUUUAUGAAUGAAAUGAAGAAAUAUGAUUCUAAUGACACAUCAGUCAGCAUGACAGAAGAAAAAGAGCCUGAACCCACUUCACAGCCACUAGAUCUCGGAUUUCCAGAUGAUGAUGAUGACGGACCACAACCAGAAGUUCUGUCCCCAACACAACCAAGUGCAAUGGCCCAGGCGGCAAGUGGUGGCUAUGAGAUCCCCGCCCGUCUGCGCACUCUCCACAAUCUAGUCAUUCAAUAUGCGUCACAGGGUCGCUACGAGGUGGCAGUACCACUGUGUAAACAAGCCCUGGAGGACCUGGAGAAGACCAGUGGGCAUGAUCACCCAGAUGUUGCCACAAUGCUAAAUAUACUCGCCCUAGUAUACAGAGACCAGGGCAAGUAUAAGGAGGCUGCCAAUCUACUAAAUGAUGCAUUAGGCAUCCGGGAGAAGACUCUGGGGCCUGACCACCCUGCCGUGGCAGCCACCCUCAACAACCUGGCUGUAUUGUACGGGAAGCGUGGCAAGUACAAGGAGGCGGAGCCCCUGUGCAAGAGAGCACUGGAGAUAAGGGAAAAGGUGCUGGGCAAAGAUCACCCUGAUGUAGCGAAACAACUUAAUAAUCUGGCUCUACUGUGUCAAAACCAAGGCAAAUAUGAAGAGGUAGAGCAGUACUAUCAAAGGGCUCUAGAAAUCUAUGAAAGUAAGCUAGGCCAGGAUGACCCCAAUGUUGCUAAGACUAAGAAUAACCUGGCCUCUGCAUACCUGAAGCAGGGCAAGUACAAGCAGGCCGAGGUUCUGUACAAGGAGGUCCUCACCCGCGCACACGAGAAGGAGUUCGGCAAGGUGGAAGGAGAGAACAAGCCCAUCUGGAUGAGGGCAGAAGAGCGAGAAGAAAACAAAGGAAAAUACAAGGAUGGAUCCCCACUUCCAGAGUAUGGCAGUUGGCACAAGGCUGCUAAAGUUGAUAGCCCGACAGUUACAACAACCCUGAAGAACCUCGGUGCGCUGUACCGGCGACAGGGCAAGUACGAGGCUGCCGAGACUCUGGAGGAGUGUGCCAUGAGGUCCAAAAAGAAUGUAAGUGGUCUGGACGUAGUCAAAACCACGAAAAUAGCGGAUGUGUUAAGCAGUGAAUAUCAUAAAGAGCAGUCUCCCAAAGAGCGAAAGCGCUCGAUGAGCAGAGAGAACCUCCGGCGAGACUCUAUGGAUAGUGUAGCCUACGAGAAAACUGACAUUGGUGACGAAGUGAGUAUCAAAAUGCAGUGGUCGGGCGACUCUGCGGCCCUCACAGACCAGGGCUGGACGGGAAAGUUAAAGCGCAGUGGAUCGUUCUCUAAACUGCGUGCUUCCAUUAAACGUAGCAGUGCUAAACUGGUGCAGAAGUUGAAGGGGAAGGCGCCUGGUGACGAAAAUUCUGGCAGCCUCAACUGGUAUGUGCGGGGAUGGUAUGCCAACGAGAGAGUAAACACUAUGAAAAGAGCAAGCUCCAUGUCAGUUCUCAAUUUAAUCAGCAGUAAUGAUGACAAGUUACAUGAAAGUAGGCGGUCUGUGGGUGACUUGAGGAUGCGAGGGAGGACAGCUAGUACAGAACAUUUACCUGGCCAGCUGUUUUGAUGAGCAGCUUGCCUGGUUAGACUUUAUCAUGUGUUUAUAUAUAUUUGUACAGUCCUUCAACCCAACUGUUGAUGCAAAGCUGAGGCUGCUGGCUGCAAGAAGACUUGAUGUCAGCAGCCCUGGCUGACAAGAGAAACACACUGAUCACGCUGUCUUAUUGAUGAAUUAUUGCCAGAUAUGUAUAUGUGGCUUAACAAACCUUGGGCAGCCGGUGAUGGAGUGAGGGCAUAUUGCCGGGAAUUGAAGUAAUCAGUAGUGUCUUCAUGCAUUAUACUACUGUGUAUCUUGAAGUUGGGCUGACUACGUUAUUUGUGUCUUUCAUUGAGGAAUCUUCCCGCUCGCAGUACUGUGUGGGUAGUUUGAUAACAGCAUAAUACCCAGACAGACAGAUGGAUGAAUAGAUGGAUGAACAACAGAUGGACAGCCCUCCAGGUGGAGCCAUCGUCAACAACAUGGAAGAUGGUUCAUCACUGGCUGUCACUGCCGCUGUUCCUUACCCAGAACCACCCAGCUGCCACUUCCUAUGUUGUGGGACUUCACUAUCAUCAUUGAUUUCAUUGUGUGCAACAACGUCGUGGUGAUUGUCGUAGAGCUUGCUGCUUGUGUACCUUGGUCAGACAUCGAUAUAUUCAACAUAUAUGUCUUAUACCCACAUCUCAGCUAGGUUGAGAGAUCUGCAUCUACACAUUGAAGUAACGUAACUCAUUAACCACUAAUAAUUAGGAAGUUUUCAUUAUGGUUGUAGCCUGUUUUAGAAAGUAUGAAUCAAGCUUGUGUUGAAAGCUAUAUCACUUUAUGCAGGACAGGUGUGUGGAUCUAAGGUCCUCAGUUAGAUGGGUUUCUACAUCACAGCUGUGCUACAGAAUUGAUGCUUGCUGUGAUGCUUCUGUUCAACAAUCACUAGGGAUAUUGUCUUGACACUACAACCAAAGUAAAUGUUGAAGCAAUUAGCUUUGCUUACUUAUCAAAUUCAUAAUAUAUGACUUUCUUUGCUCGCAAAAAGUCAUGUUUUUAAUUAUUGUUUUGUUUAAGCAAGAAACAUUAACAAUGAAAUAGUUUGCUUUGCUUAUAAAAUUCAUAGACAUAUUAUCCCUUUGCUCGAAAAAUCGUAUUUUUGGUAAGUCUUUCUUUUGAGCAGAGUUUCUUAGUCAUCAAAAGGAAUUUAUUUGUACUUUCCAUCCCAAAAAGAAUACAUGUUUUUCGGUGCAUGUAGUAACUUAUGUGAGACAUGCAUAACCUCUUUUUCCCUGUUUCGACUGAAAAAGAGCCUGACAUGGUAUAUUCUCUCUGGAUAGAAACCCUUCAAAUAUCUUGAUCAGCUUAUGUUGCCUUGGUAUUUAAAUUGAACUGUAUAUUCGUCUUCAUGUUCUAUAGCCAAAUUCUUAAAUAACAGAAAUAUUUUCAAUUUUUAACUUAAAAUUAGCAGUUCAAUUAAGUGCUUUCAGUGUCUUUUUAUGUAUCAUGCUCUUCGAUAACAUGCUUCUGUGAUUAAUUAAGCAAGGUAACAGUUGUGUUGAUUUGCGAUCAGCUGCAUGGGUACCCUCAGUUUCCAUACAACUAACUUGCAAUAUUAAAUUGUAUCAGGUAGGAUGAUGCCAAUAUUGGUUGAACGAAUGAGAGCAGGUCAUAUUGACCUGGUAAACUAGGUCACAACGACCUAGCCAUAGCAGCAGGACUGUGAUCUAACUUUAUAUUGUUAAAACUUUGUUUUCUGUCAGAUGUUUAUGUUGAUAUAAUUCAGGAGAUCCUUGUUGCAGCACUGCUGCCUGGUUACAUUUCGUCCUUCCUGUGUUAAUGAUGUGAAGAUGUAAGGAGCUUGCACUUGGGGUGAGUGGGCUGAUUGGCAGGCGGGAUACUAGUAGGACCAUGCCCAGUUUCUGUGUCGUCUUUGUUCAGCAGCAUUCUCUCAUAAUCUGAUAUGUUAAGAGUGGCCCUAGUUGCUUUGAGUAUACUGAGGUCCCCCUUCAGACCUGUUCUACAAGGACAUGUAAAUAGCAACAGUUUCUGCACUUGCGACAUGGACUGACAAUACGUCCAACACAAGUUCAGAUUGGAAUAUGUGCAAUUGUCUGAUUUUCCUGUAAGCUUUUACUACCACAUCAACUACUGUUGUCCUGAUCAGCGACAAUAGUAUGACUUGCACCAUGGAUCAGUUAGCCUGCUUAGAUAUUGUACACAUACCUGUUUCUGGAUAUCUCGUACAUGUUUACCACAAUACUGGCUGUCAGGCUGCGAUACUACAAGGAUUUCUUACAAAAACCAAAUAUUCUGUGACCCUCCCUGUGUUAGCUGCCCUUGCUGUCCUAUCAUGCUGACCCUUCGGACAACCCACUGAUUCCCUCACAGUUGACUCAGUCACAACUGCCAUGUUAUUGGGCAUUGGUAAUAAGGAAAUAUAAGUACUUGUAUAAAAAAACAAAACUAUUUAUUCUACCACAGAAGUGAACACCUUUCAUGGGUACCAAGCCCUACAUUAAUCUGAAUAUUUCAACAUUGAAACCAGCUGUAACUGACAUUGAAGUGCUAUGUUGUGUGAUACUAUAAGUUCUCUCUAUGAGGAUGUGGAAUUAGAGAGAUGCUGCCCUUAUACAUACUAUAUUUACACCAUGUGUUUGACGUAGGUACCUACAGCAAAAGAUGGACUGGUAUACAGGUUUAUGGAUGUGAGUGAUAGGCUGAAUGUAGACUGAAUCCUCCCUUCCUAUGGCAGAGACUGCUUGAUCCAGUACAAUCAAAACAUGCUAAUUUAAUGUAAUGGACAUAAGGAAAACUCACAAGGAAUUAGGAUGUAGCUCCUUGGGAUUUGUAUUUGUUUGCAAGGUAAUGGUGUAUUUGGAAUCAUGUAUUAAAGGUUGUCCUGUAGUGAGUACAAGACUGGACAUUGACCAAGAAUUAUUGUGAGUUUCCCACAUGUCUAUCUAAAGUUGACUUCAUACACUUCAAACUGACAUUCUUUCUGUUUACAAAUCAAUUUUGAUAUUUUAAUUACCCCUUUCAGACAGGUAGAUAUUAAAAUUGAUUAUUGUAUGUAAUACAAAGAUUUGUGAAGUAAGUGAAUAUGAAAUUUAUUCCUGAUAUAUUAUUGAUGCCAUUGUACAAGUUAAAACACAUUAUAUGAACUCACUUGUCUGCAGUUUGGUUUGGAUUCACUAUGUGUAUGCUGUCUGUCUCUUGCGUGUGAGAUCCAGCUUGUAUCAUUUGAGGCAGUGUUCAUGCAGCAAGUGUCAGUUUCUGUACAGUUGCUUGAUUUCAAUCCUGAUAAUUUAUUAAAGCAAAUUAUUAAAACAUC
rnacentral:misc_RNA from 1 species